rnacentral:tRNA from 1 species
GGCAACAUGGCCGAGCGGUCUAAGGCGCCACGUUAAGGUUCACCCUUAAUUCCAAUCUCAGGAUUCCGUGGUCCGAAAGGGCGUGAGUUCGAAUCUCACUGUUGUCA